rnacentral:rRNA from 1 species
GAUGAACGCUGGCGGCGUGCCUAAUACAUGCAAGUCGAGCGAACAGACGAGGAGCUUGCUCCUCUGACGUUAGCGGCGGACGGGUGAGUAACACGUGGAUAACCUACCUAUAAGACUGGGAUAACUUCGGGAAACCGGAGCUAAUACCGGAUAAUAUAUUGAACCGCAUGGUUCAAUAGUGAAAGACGGUUUUGCUGUCACUUAUAGAUGGAUCCGCGCCGCAUUAGCUAGUUGGUAAGGUAACGGCUUACCAAGGCGACGAUGCGUAGCCGACCUGAGAGGGUGAUCGGCCACACUGGAACUGAGACACGGUCCAGACUCCUACGGGAGGCAGCAGUAGGGAAUCUUCCGCAAUGGGCGAAAGCCUGACGGAGCAACGCCGCGUGAGUGAUGAAGGUCUUCGGAUCGUAAAACUCUGUUAUUAGGGAAGAACAAAUGUGUAAGUAACUAUGCACGUCUUGAGGGUACCUAAUCAGAAAGCCACGGCUAACUACGUG